GAUGAACGCUGGCGGCGUGCUUAACACAUGCAAGUCGAACGAUGAAGCUAGAGCUUGCUCUGGUGGAUUAGUGGCGAACGGGUGAGUAACACGUGAGUAACCUGCCCCGAACUCUGGGAUAACUGCUGGAAACGGUAGCUAAUACCGGAUAUGACCAAUGAAGGCAUCUUCUGUUGGUGGAAAGAAUUUCGGUUCGGGAUGGACUCGCGGCCUAUCAGCUUGUUGGUGAGGUAACGGCUCACCAAGGCGGCGACGGGUAGCCGGCCUGAGAGGGUGAUCGGCCACACUGGGACUGAGACACGGCCCAGACUGCUACGCGAGGCAGGAGUGGGGAAUAGUGCACAAGGGGCGCAAGCCUGACGCAGCAACGCCGCGUGAGAGACGACGGCCUUCGGGUUGUAAACCUCUUUUAGUAGGGAAGAAGCGAAAGUGACGGUACCUGCAGAAAAAGCACCGGCUAACUACGUGCCAGCAGCCGCAGUAA
rnacentral:rRNA from 1 species